rnacentral:rRNA from 1 species
GAUGAACGCUGGCGGCGUGCUUAACACAUGCAAGUCGAACGGUGAAGCAGAGCUUGCUCUGUGGAUCAGUGGCGAACGGGUGAGUAACACGUGAGCAAUCUGCCCCUGACUCUGGGAUAAGCGCUGGAAACGGCGUCUAAUACUGGAUAUGAGCUGCGAAGGCAUCUUCAGCAGUUGGAAAGAAUUUCGGUCAGGGAUGAGCUCGCGGCCUAUCAGCUUGUUGGUGAGGUAAUGGCUCACCAAGGCGUCGACGGGUAGCCGGCCUGAGAGGGUGACCGGCCACACUGGGACUGAGACACGGCCCAGACUCCUACGGGAGGCAGCAGUGGGGAAUAUUGCACAAUGGGCGAAAGCCUGAUGCAGCAACGCCGCGUGAGGGACGACGGCCUUCGGGUUGUAAACCUCUUUUAGCAAGGAAGAAGCGAAAGUGACGGUACUUGCAGAAAAAGCGCCGGCUAACUACGUGCCAGCCGCCGCAGUAA